rnacentral:rRNA from 1 species
AUUGAACGCUGGCGGCAUGCUUUACACAUGCAAGUCGAACGGCAGCGCGGGCUUCGGCCUGGCGGCGAGUGGCGAACGGGUGAGUAAUACAUCGGAACGUGCCCAGUAGUGGGGGAUAGCUCGGCAAAAGCCGGAUUAAUACCGCAUACGACCUGAGGGUGAAAGCGGGGGAUCUUCGGACCUCGCGCUAUUGGAGCGGCCGAUGGCAGAUUAGCUAGUUGGUGGGGUAAAGGCCUACCAAGGCGACGAUCUGUAGCUGGUCUGAGAGGACGACCAGCCACACUGGGACUGAGACACGGCCCAGACUCCUACGGGAGGCAGCAGUGGGGAAUUUUGGACAAUGGGCGAAAGCCUGAUCCAGCAAUGCCGCGUGUGUGAUGAGGGCCUUCGGGUUGUAAAGCACUUUUGGCGGGAACGAAAAGGACUGUGCCAAUACCACGGUUCGAUGACGGUACCCGCAGAAUAAGCACCGGCUAACUACGUG